AGUGAGCUUUAGUGGACCUAUAUAAAGCAUUUUGGGACAGAUUUCAUUUCAUCUUCAACCUCUCUUCACUUUGCCAAAAUCAAUUCUCCAUGAAACCUCCAUAGCCGACCAUAGGACUAAGCUCCAUGCACAUCACUUCAAGCCACUUUCCACACAAUUUUCUUCAUUAAUUCUUGUUUACACACCAUGGGCAGUAUAUAAGCAGUAAAAAGGAG
rnacentral:misc_RNA from 1 species